rnacentral:rRNA from 1 species
UACAGAGGUCUCAAGCGUUGUUCGGAAUUACUGGGCGUAAAGGGUGCGCAGGCCGCGCGGACAGUCAAAUGUGAAAUUCAGGGGCUCAACCCCUGCAUUGCGCUUGAUACUUCCGCGCUCGAGCCUUGGAAAGGAGUCUGGAAUUCUCGGUGUAGCGGUGAAAUGCGUAGAUAUCAAGAGGAACACCUGAGGUGAAGACGGGUUGCUGGGCCGACACUGACGCUGAGUGCGCGAAAGCGUGGGGAGCAAACAGG